rnacentral:rRNA from 1 species
CCUACGGGUGGCAGCAGUGAGGAAUAUUGGUCAAUGGGCGUAAGCCUGAACCAGCCAAGUCGCGUGAGGGAUGACGGUCCUAUGGAUCGUAAACCUCUUUUAUCAGGGAAUAAGGUGCGCGACGUGUCCCGCGUCGUAUGUACCUGAUGAAUAAGCAUCGGCUAACUCCGUGCCAGCAGCCGCGGUAAUACGGAGGAUCCGAGCGUUAUCCGGAUUUAUUGGGUUUAAAGGGUGCGUAGGCGGCCUCUGAACGGAUGCGGGAAAGUUUGGGGGCUAAACCUAGCAGUGCCGUUGAAACUGGGCGGCUAGAGUGGGCGAGAGGUAUGCGGAAUGCGUGGUGUAGCGGUGAAAUGCAUAGAUAUCACGCAGAAACCCGAUUGCGAAGGCAGCCUGCC